rnacentral:ncRNA from 1 species
UAAGGUUUCUUGCUUCCUUAAAGAGCAAGUGGUGCGGAUGGGGUUACCCCGCCUGGUUUCCAAUUUCCAGUUAAAGAAUUGGUGGCGAGCCUGAAU